AUUAAUCUAAUGAUGAUAUUAUAGUUCAAAUGAUACGACGUGAUUAUCGCAUUUGUUGUCUUUCGCUCCUAUCUGAAAUUCAC